UGCCAGGUCUGCAGAUUUGUCUGUAAAUCUGCAGAUUUGGGGUAUAGUGCUGCAGACAUUUCUUGUUGUGCAGACUUUUGAAAUUCUCGCAGACUUUUACAGACUUUUGAAAUUCUCGCAGACUUUCGUCUAUAUUUACAGACUUUUGAAAUUUCCGCGAUUUUUUUUUUGCUCGCCAAGUCAGUUUUUCCUGUCAUACUUUAUAGAGAAAUUGCUGCCAGCAAAACAUACUUGCUGACUGCAGAUAUUUUUUUCAGAUUUACAGGCCCUGUCUGCAGAUAUUUGAAAGUUUUACCUGGCAUCUCUGCUUCUAUUAAUUACCAAACGGUUUACACGUUUCUCACUUAACUCUUUGCAUAGAAUGAUGCUCGGAACGUUCGACAGAACUGUGAAAUCCAAGAAAAUCUUUUUAAAUCACAUCACAAUAAUCGAAAGAGAGAGUGAACAUAGAGAAACUGUCACUUGCUCUUACGGCCUUCUGAAAAGUCUACCGAGAAUAUGAGCACAAGUACUUAUUCAUAUCGCUCAGUUUUGCACUGAAGAAAAAUGGCUGCUUUGAUGAAUCACCCAAUUUCGUUUGUCUAAAAGCUGUUUAUCGAGAUUCCGACUCACGAGUAGCAAUCAAUUGAGGUACCUACCGAACAAAAUGUAACAAUCAUUAUUAUUAUUCAUACGAAUUAAACUGUUUGUAAUAUGUUCUAAAA